UGGGGUAAGCGCCAUAUACAAGAAGCAAAGCUGAGCGUAGAGACUGGGAGCUUGGCUCUUUGGUACCGAUGAUUGCGGCCAUUGUCUCAUUUCCCUUUUAGCUUAGCGAAACAAGACAAAAAAAAAUCUAAAGAAAAUAAUGGGAAAGUUGGAGGAAAUCGUGCGCAUCGCCAAGAAGAUGGAUAAGAUGGUGUCCAAGAAAAACACGAAUGGUGCUAUUGAUUUACUGAAGGAACUUAAAAGCAUACCCAUGACUUUGGAUCUGUUGCAGUCCACGCGGGUUGGGAUGUCUGUGAACGCUGUUAGAAAACAAAGCACGGAUGAAGAAGUCACAACACUUGCUAAGUCACUCAUCAAAUCAUGGAAAAAACUGCUAGAUGGCCCAGCAGGAGAUAAAGAUGCUGAAGACAAGAAAAAAGAAUGUUCAACUUCCUCCAAGAGCAGUUCAGACUCAACAGAGCAAAGCUCUAGUAAGAGACAAGAACCAAGGACACCCACUACUCCAAAGAUGACCACAUUUCCACCAAUUCCUGUUACGAGUGAUACUGUCCGCAAUAAGUGUAGAGAAUUGUUGUCGGCUGCUCUCCAAACAGACAUUGAGGCGGCUCUUCAAGAUCCUGGAAGAGACACAGAAAAAAGGUGCAGGAUUUUGACUGUGGAACUAGCUGUUUGCUCAUGGCAUUGCACAGGGACAAGUACAGAACAUUCAGCUUCUGACUUUAAUUGCAUCUCGAUUGCAGAUGAUUAUGUUGCAAUAGGAACUGACUGUGACCAUAUGGCAGCGCAGAUUGAAGAAAUUGUAUUCCAAGAGAUGGGCAAUACAGAUAUGAAAUAUAAAAACCGAGUGAGAAGCAGGAUAGCUAACCUAAAAGAUACAAAGAACCCCAACUUAAGGAAAAAUGUUCUCUGUGGAAAUAUUUCAGCAGAACAGAUUGCAAGAAUGACUGCUGAGGAAAUGGCAAGUGAUGAACUGAGAGAGAUUCGGAAGGCCUUAACAAAUGAAGCUAUCAGAGAACACCAGAUGGCCAAGACUGGUGGUACUGAAACUGCCCUCUUCACUUGUGGAAAGUGCAAGAAGAAGAACUGUACAUAUACACAGUAACUGAAACUCUGGAUGAAGAGGCUCUUAGUUUGCUUUUGUUCAAACACGGAGUGCUGAUGAACCCAUGACUACGUUUGUUUUUUGCAAUGAAUGUGGUAACAGAUGGAAGUUCUGUUAAUAAAUAUUCAGAUGACCAUUGUUGGUAGAUGCAGCUGGACCAAUAUAUGAAGUACCUAAAUUAUAAAGGAUCAUCAUGUAUAUUAAACCUCACAUUUUGUUACAUAUAUUGUUGUAAAGUAAAUAAUCUUUGCAAGUAUUCUCCUUUGAAACUCAGUUGAAGUAAUCUAAAAUUAUAUCCUAAUUGAGAGUCUUUGUUAAUUAAUGCAUUGUAUGGUACGACGAGUUGCAUUUCACUUCAACGUGUUUUAAGACUUCUUUAUAUAAUUUAGGUUUCGAUAAUGAAAUGCUAUUGCUAGUAUGGAUUGGAUAUAUUGAGAUCAUUUUUAAUUAAAGUGUGAUGAUUGUUCACAGCAA